GUACUGACCUGGCAGGGGAUGUACCAUAAAGGUGGUUUUCCCAGGGCGAGGCUUAUCCAUUGCACUCCAGAUGUGCUGACCCCUACAAUUUCCCCAAAUGUGGGAAAUUCCACUGCAUAAUUUGUGGUAGUGGGGUUCUGCGUUUGUGCUCUCCCCCG